UUUCUUUGCCUGCCGCCAUCCACGUAGAAUGUGACUUGCUCCUCUUCGCCUUCUGCCAUGAUUCUGAGGCCUCCCAGCCACGUCGAACUACAGAAGAAGGAGAUGCCAGUGACAAGCAAAGUAACUCCCCCACGGCAUGGGAAGAGCCAGCAUCUGCUGCUGUCCAGGAAUACAGUCUCACUGCUGCAGUCAAGGAAGGCCAAAGAAGCCACCGGGGAAAACCAACCCAUCCCGGGGACACUGGAGGCUCACUCCUUCCUCGCUGCAUUCUGAGGCUGCUGCUUUGGAGUGAGAGAUUAUCCUCUGCUUCUCCUGAAAGAGAAGGUGAUAUGCCCAGGACCCUUCCUGAGUAAGAUGUGUUCCUCAGAGGUUAAAAAAGAAAAAAAAGCCCCAAACCCCUGAAACCAAGAAAUCAAGACAGCUCUGGUGGAGAAGCUUUUGGGAACUUGCUGGGGCAGGCUCCAAUCAGCUUAAAGUCCUUGCAAAGAAAGAAAUUGUGCCCUGUCUCUCAGCGUCGACCAUAGCAGAGAGCCUGGGACAUGAAUGGGUGUCAUUAUUUAUCUGCUGAACAAAUAGCAAAUUAUCUGGAUUUUACAGAGGAAGGAGGACAUUGAAGAUUAGAGGUUGCAUAGCCUGACCAUGUUUACAUCUACUGCAGAUGAAGAGAUUGCUUCGCUUCAAACCUCCUGACUGCCAUGGAACCAUCUGGCACAUACACGUGUGUGGGUGGCGUCAGAAGUGGGAUCUGAAGUAGAGCUUCUAAUGACCUCUAGGAGUGCUGAGUGACCAAGUGAGGUACCUGCAGGACCCUUUUGUGUUCAGUGAUCUCUUGGAGCAGCUGGGGAUCAUGCUUGACCUCCACGGCUAUAGUGUGGUGAACAGGCUCAGUAGGGCUGCUCAGAGAAAGGGAAUCCAGAAGCCUGGCAUGCUGGCAAAAGGGUAAGAAUUUCUUACCAGUCAGACUUCUCACCUCUCUCUUUCUGUGCAAAAUGGUUGGAUGAAUGGUAAAAAUCACUGUUUAUCUCUUCUGUAAAGUUCUAAUUAAUAUGAAAAAAGGCUUCUGAGGCUAGACCUAAGCUGUAGCAAAUGCGAUGUGCUUUGUGUGUCUUCUGUAUGGUUUUGUCAUAAAGAGGAGUAUGUUAGGAUAGAACAUGGGCUUAGGACCCCAUAAGCUCACUAUUCAAGAUGGCCCAGCAAGCUGGUCAGUAACAAACUUUGUUGCAGUUACCUGAAACAAACAAAAAACUGGAUGAGGUUUCCAUCUUGUUUUAUGUCCUUGGGAAUUUGACCUCAUAACCAUGUGGCAAUACUUUCUCUUGGUCUCUGCCAUGUAAGGAACAGGAAUUGGGGGAUUCAUGUCAUAGCCCUAAAAAUUAUUGAACAGUAAAAGCCUUUGUGACCACACCACUGUACUCCAGCCUGUGUAACAGAGCAAGAUCUUGCCUUUAUUAAAAAGAAAGAGGCCUGGUACUGUGGCUCACAUCUGUAAUCCCAGCACUUUAGGAGGCCGAGGCUGGCACAUCACUUGAGGUCAGGAGUUCAAGACCAGCCUGGCUAAUAUGGUGAAACCCCAUCUCUACUAAAAAUACAAAACUUAGUAUUGGGCAUGGUGGCACAUGCCUGUAAUCCCAGCUGCUCUAGUGGCUGAGGCAGGAAAGAACCACUGAACCCAGGAGGUGGAGGUUGCAGUGAGCCAAGAUUGCUCCACUGCACCCCAGCCUGGGCGACAGAGCGAGACUCCAUCUC
rnacentral:lncRNA from 10 species